UACGAAGGGGGCUAGCGUUGUUCGGAAUCACUGGGCGUAAAGCGCACGUAGGCGGGUUCUUAAGUCAGGGGUGAAAUCCCGAGGCUCAACCUCGGAACUGCCUUUGAUACUGGGAAUCUUGAGUUCGGGAGAGGUGAGUGGAAUUGCGAGUGUAGAGGUGAAAUUCGUAGAUAUUCGCAAGAACACCAGUGGCGAAAGCGGCUCCCUGGUCCAGCACCGACGUUCAGGCACGAAAGCGUGGGGGAGCAAACAGG
rnacentral:rRNA from 1 species